rnacentral:rRNA from 1 species
UACGUAGGGUGCGAGCGUUGUCCGGAAUUAUUGGGCGUAAAGAGCUUGUAGGUGGCUCGUUGCGUCGGGAGUGAAAACCUGCGGCUUAACCGCAGGCCUGCUUCCGAUACGGGCGAGCUAGAGUUCGGCAGGGGAGACUGGAAUUCCUGGUGUAGCGGUGAAAUGCGCAGAUAUCAGGAGGAACACCGGUGGCGAAGGCGGGUCUCUGGGCCGAUACUGACACUGAGGAGCGAAAGCGUGGGGAGCGAACAGG